rnacentral:misc_RNA from 1 species
CACGAGUGCGCGCCGUGUCGUUUUUUUCACUGUCGUGCUCCGCGCCACUUUCCCUCUUCCACGGACAUAUCGACGCUCACGCAUAUCUAUAGAGGCGAGCAAGUGUGCAUGCGAGGCGAAGCGUCGUCGUGAAAGCAGAAGAAACAACAGCGAGUGCCUGGUGCCCCUCCAACGCAUUCUGCCCGCCCUCCUCCUCUUUCAACCCCACCACCGGCAUCGGUGCCUACAUUUCGCUAUUGUGCUCUUCCUCCCCUUCCCCUCCCAACGCACCGCCUCUCUCAGGCUGCCUACAUCCACCUAUCCCUCCAAACACACACUCACGGCGGCGGAAGCGGCGCAGCGCUGUUCUCGGCACCUUCGACGCGCUGAGUGUCGCGUGCCCUGCGUUGGAUCCUUUGCGCUCUGCCUUCACCGUUCUCGGGAGGCGUAACUCUUUGGUUUGCUUGUGCUGUUCACAGGUGGGCGGUUUUUCUUGGUCGCUGCUCAUGCCAGACGUCAACUGGGCUCUUGAGGAGAAUGGAGCUCACAUCGCCGAGGUGUCUCACGAGGCGGUGCACGUCGCCAGCAUCGCCUCCAACCUGCUGAAGCCCCGCGAAGACCAGCUUUGGAUCACCGGCGACGCCCCGCAAUACGUGACGGUGUCUCUCUCCCCAUCCCACCCGCCGCUGCAGUACGCCGGGUGGCAUGUGUGGCACGACUACCUUACCAAUCCCCACAUGGUUGAGAUCGCGUCUGGUGCAUCGCCAGACACGAUGAGCGCCCUCCUUGUGUGCCAAGCACUACCCGGGGCUGGUACUCAGGUGUGGAAGCUUCCGCGUGCGAUCCCGCAAGACCACCAAUACGUGCGCUUCCGGAUUAUGAGCACCUUCGGCCCAGGUCCGACGUACAUGAACAACAUCGUGCUACUGGAGAACGACCCUGGCCCGGGCUACAACGCGUACGGACAACACGUAGAAGACUCCGCGACUACAGCGGAUGACAUUCUUCGUGGAGAAUCUGCUGCUCGGCACCCAACUGCCGCUGCAGCGUCGCCCUACAUGUCACCUCCGACAUCCGUCUUGCGACCACCUGCUUUCGGUGGCGGCAUGGACAGAAGCCCUCUACCGCGGCGGGCCCCACCGACGUCGGCGCUGCCUGGCGCCUCUCCCAUCUCCACCGCAAACCCGCGCGACGAUCGUUCGGCGGAUGUCGGGGUGUUCAUUGCCCCCGGGCCGUCUGCUUCAGCGCACCGCGGUGAGCGCGCGGACGGCGGCGCUGGCGGCCGCUCGCCGGGAGGAGCUCGCAGCAGCAGCCGCAUGAGCCAACUGCUCCGUGACCUCGAUGACGAUAUCAAGAUGCUGAAGCCGAUCAAGAUCGUCAGUCCAAGAAAGAAGAUGCUCUUGUGCGUGCCCCAGGACUCGCACGCGAAGUCGGCGGACAGCAGGAGCGAGGAUGAUUACUUUGAGGCCCGGCAGGGCGGCGGCCAUCGCGAAGGGAGCGCCAAUGGUAAGGCCCACCACAGUGGCGAGAACGAUUCUAGCGAACAUCGUCGUCACCACCGGCAUCACCGUCGCAGCAGUAGUCGCCGCCGGAAUUUCAGUGGCCGCGAGGAGCGUAGCGACAACAGCAGGUCUGCGCAGCUGGAGGGCAGCCAUGCACCCCACUCAGUGCCGAUGGGCGCCAAACAAAUGGCUUUGGCAGUUUGGCCGCCGCCGGCGGUACCCCCCUCCGCAGUAGAGCUCAGCUCCCUGCACGGCGAGCGACUCAGUGCACUGGAGCAAGCAGUUGCAGUGCUGCACGCGACGGUGCAGCACCAGCGCGACGAUCUCAGUAUGAUCAAGCGUGUGCUACUGCAGCAAGCAACGGAGCGCCGCAAGGAGGCGGCGCAGCGGUGCGAGGAAAAGCAGAAGAUGGGCACCGUCGCCGUUGCGCUCCCAGCGGCACUGGCUGCACCGCCCGGUGCACCUUCAUCGGCUGUCGCCGCCGACGCCAAGGCCCCUGUGUUACAGAUAGCUGCACCCGAUCAGCGUCUGACGCACCGCAGCAUCACGGUCGGCUUUCCCGAAGACGCUCUGCGCACCUAUGUCGAGUCCGUGCUAGACCACAAGCUGCGCAAGCAGAUGAAAAAGGUCGAGGCAAAGUUGCUGCAGCGGUUGGACAAGCAGCUGCAUGAUGUGAUCAAGGUUCUCUCCGUCACCAUUGAAGGCCGGCUGGCUGGGCUGGCCUCGUCAAGCGCGACGGCGCAGCAGCAGGCAGCGCCGUCACACCGGCCCUUCUAUGCGGGGCGCUCGACGCCGACGCAAGCUGGCGGCCUGCCGACAGCCUCGUCCUCUGCUGUGCGCGACAUACCUCGCAGCUCCGUCAUGGGGGGCGGCCCCGGAAUCGAUCUUGGCGAUGCCGCUUCCUCUCCCAGUUCAUCGAAAGGGUAUUACUAUCACACACCGCUGACGCGCACUGGCUCAAGCGCGAGAGGGCCGGCGGGUGGCUCCGCUACCGCAGCGUUUCCGGUGUCUUAUGUGGCUAUGCGCAACUCGCCGAACGCCUAUCGUGCCACCACCGGUGCACCACCUGUCUCCAUCACCAAGGGCCGCUUCUUUUGAGGAAUGAGAGAAGAGAUCGUACGGGUCGCUUUCUCCUCCUCCCCCUUUUCCGCCUCCGAGUGGCACGCGCGUGGGGCUCGUACGGUAGAGGCUUAUAUUACUACGACUAUAGACUCUGUACUCAUACUACGACUACCCCGCCUAUGAAUUUCGUCUUCCUUUUUUUUGUUCGCGGCUCCACAUGAAGCCGUGAAGGAGCCUUCGCCCAAUAGCCGUUGUGCUGGUGUGCGUGUGUCGGUGCGUGUGUUUAUGUGUCUUAUCGCCCUGUGGGGAAUAUUUUCGCUCUCACUUGUCCCCUGAUUUCUCUCAGUUUGUGCGUGUAACCGGCUGGGUAACUGUGCCAGCGAGCUCUUCGUCGGGAUGCCAUGGUCUUCUCUUGAUGACAUGUGCAGUCCCACAGCGCACGAUUGUUUCGUCUUCAUCGCUUCACAUUCGCACCUGCCCCGAUUCAGCUCCUGCUCCGCCAAAGACUUUUUCUUCACGCUGCCCCCCCCCAACCACCAUCACCUCCGUUUCGCUUGUUUUCCGUUCUCCAACACAUUCCUCGCUUUCUCUUCACUUCUUCUCAUCUUGUACAUCGCCCACUCGGCCAUCAAUGUUUUAUGGUCUGCCGCCGUCUCGUCUCGUCUCGUCUUUGUUCUUCCUGUUAGACACUUCCCUCAUGUACGUGUGCUUCACGCACAAACCGGUCGUUCCUUCAACCGCCUUCCUCUUCUCCCUUUCCGUCCCUGUUCCUGCCACCGCCAAGCUGUGAGGGAGGCAAGCAAGAAGAGGGGUUAGGCCGAAGAUGAGAGGGCCUCCUCCAGUCUUCGCGAGCGCGCCGCACACGCGUGCGAAAGACGAACAACGAAAAAUGUAUACUGCAGUGCUGCGUGCUGCUUUGCUUGCGUUGCGCAUGAGGUGCUCUUGUGCUGCUCCCUUGCACUACGAGGGGGGCGGGCUGGUGGGCUGCACGCGUGUCCGCUGCAUGGGCGCGCUCCUGGGUUCAGCAGAGCAAGUUGGCUACUCACGAGAGACGCCAGUGCUCAUGUGUGUGCUUGUGCAUGAGCAGUCAUGGUACAUGUGACUUUGUGCAUUUGCGUGGCCAAGAGCGGCUCCGCUACGGUCACCGCCGCACACGCACACGUGCACACAAACACACAUACAAACACUGUACAAAUACAUGGAAGCCACUCGCUUGAUGUGUGCCCCUCCCCGUUUCCCUCCCCCGACGCCACUCGGCAUGCACUUCUGCCAUCACGGGCAUCGUUGCUUCUCGUCUUCACCUCUGUCUCUCUAUCUCCGUAUGACGGAGCACAUGCUUUUUGUGUGUGUGCUUGUCGUUGUUGCUUCUAG